rnacentral:siRNA from 1 species
AUAAAUUGAACGGACAAGAGUU